rnacentral:rRNA from 1 species
UACGUAGGGUGCAAGCGUUAAUCGGAAUUACUGGGCGUAAAGCGCGUGUAGGCGGUUCGGUAAGUCCGCUGUGAAAGUCGGGGGCUCAACCCUCGGAUGCCGGUGGAUACUGUCGGGCUUGAGUGCGGAAGAGGCGAGUGGAAUUCCUGGUGUAGCGGUGAAAUGCGCAGAUAUCAGGAGGAACACCUAUUGCGAAGGCAGCUCGCUGGGACGUAACUGACGCUGAGACGCGAAAGCGUGGGGAGCAAACAGG